GCGAUUAGCUCAGCGGGAGAGCGCUUCCCUGACACGGAAGAGGUCACUGGUUCAAUCCCAGUAUCGCGCACCACG
rnacentral:tRNA from 1 species